UACGAAGGGGGCUAGCGUUGCUCGGAAUUACUGGGCGUAAAGCGCACGUAGGCGGAUUGUUAAGUCGGGGGUGAAAUCCUGGAGCUCAACUCCAGAACUGCCUUCGAUACUGGCGAUCUCGAGUUCGGGAGAGGUGGAGUGGAACUGCGAGUGUAGAGGUGAAAUUCGUAGAUAUUCGCAAGAACACCAAUGGCGAAGGCAGCUCGCUGGGACGGUAGUGACGCUGAGGCG
rnacentral:rRNA from 1 species